rnacentral:lncRNA from 1 species
GAUCACAUAUAUAUACACUAGUUUGUAUUCAUAUGCAAUGACAAUCCACUGUACAUAUUAACUUUAUAAUAUUUUUAUGUUAUUAUUUUUGUUUAAAAUCAUUAAUGAAAUGAAAAUAUAUAAUGUAAUCAAACAGAAAAUGGAACUUGGAGUUAAUUCAGAAUACCUUUUCUGAGGACAUAGUUCAGAAAAUCCUUCAAAUUCCCCUUGCAGAGACUGCGCAUAAUGAUUUUCAAGCUUGGAAAGCGGAGUUAUGCGGUGAGUUCUCUGUUCGCAGUGCCUAUAAACUAUUACAAAACGCAAAUAUGGAUCCUAGUGACUAUUUAUUACAAACCGAAACAAAGGAUUUUUACAAAAAACUAUGGAGCCUUCAGCUACCAUCUAAAAUUGCGUUUACAGUCUGGCGGAUCUCUUGGGACUUUAUUCCAAGCUUUGUGAAACUCAGAAUAAGGAGAGUGGUGUCAAACGACAGAUGUCCCCGGUGCAACUCUGAGGUAGAAGGCAGCCUCCACGUCUUUCGAGAUUGCCCUACGACAGCAGAGGUGUGGCAUUUGUUAAAUUUCGCAUGGGCUAUGAACAAUAGGAGCCAUACUAUAUGGGAGUGGUUAACCUGGGUCUUCAAGAGGGGAAACAAUGACCAAUGCUUUUCCUUUUGCUAUGCGCUAUGGUGGAUAUGGUUUUCUAGAAAUCAACUUAUUCAUGAGAGAAAUAUCAUUCCAGGAAGGGCUUUAGUACUUAACAUUCAACGAUAUGUGUCAGAACAGAAAGGAUUAAAUGGUUUAAAAACUAAGGCGAUCACAUGCAGAAGCUAUAGAGUACAAGAGCUUACACCGACAGCCAGGAUCCAUUUUGAUGCAGCAUACGACAGUAAUACUUCCAGUUCAGCGUCCAGUCUUGUAGGUUGGGACAUGAGGGGAGUCUUGAUAGCGUUAAAAACAAUUAUUCAUAGAAAUGUUCCUUCUCCUUUCGCAGCAGAGGCUCAUGCAUGUUUAGAAGGAGUAAAGUUAGGGAUUUCAUUACAAAUCCAUUCAGUGAAACUUAUGGGGGAUUCAAAAACUGUUAUAAAGAAAUGUCAAGAGACUUCCACAGACAAAUCAGUUAUUGGAGCCAUUAUCAGAGAUAUUCAACAAAAGAAAUCAGACUUUCAAGAUCUUAUUUUCCAGUAUAUUCACAGGUCGGAAAACUUAGAUGCUCACAGAAUAGCAAAGAUUGCAUUUGAGAAAGGAGAGACGUUUUACCUGAGGGGUGAGGAACUGAAUAGUCAGAAUCUGGCUUUGGUAGGAUAUCGGCCAAGAAAUCCAGAUUGAGGAACUGCUUCAGAGGAAAUGUGACUGAAACAGAUAGCAGAGUGAAGAAUGAAUGCUUAGGGGACUGCUAUUAAUUAAAUGUUCGGAGCUUUGGAAAUUACAAAUCGUCAGACGUUAUUGGUUGCCAGCUGCUCAUUGAUUUGACUGGGUUAGGUUUUAAUAAGCUUUCUUUCCUUUUAUUGAUUUGAUGUUUCCUUUUGCAAGACAGAAGUCUGAUAGUUUUUAAGUUUUUUCAUUGUUGUUUUUUCAUUGUUUCUUUGUUUGGGCCAUUGUUUUGGGCCGUCUGUUUUUAGUUUAUUUAUUAAUAAAAUCCCAG